UACAGAGGGGGCAAGCGUUGUUCGGAAUUACUGGGCGUAAAGGGCGCGUAGGCGGCCCGCUAAGUCGAACGUGAAAUCCCCAGGCUUAACCUGGGAACUGCGUCCGAUACUGGCAGGCUUGAAUCCGGGAGAGGGAUGUGGAAUUCCAGGUGUAGCGGUGAAAUGCGUAGAUAUCUGGAGGAACACCGGUGGCGAAGGCGGCAUCCUGGACCGGCAUUGACGCUGAGGCGCGAAAGCUAGGGGAGCAAACGGGG
rnacentral:rRNA from 1 species